AUUGAACGCUGGCGGCAGGCCUAACACAUGCAAGUCGAGCGGAUGAAGGGAGCUUGCUCCUGGAUUCAGCGGCGGACGGGUGAGUAAUGCCUAGGAAUCUGCCUGGUAGUGGGGGAUAACGUCCAGAAACGGGCGCUAAUACCGCAUACGUCCUGAGGGAGAAAGUGGGGGAUCUUCGGACCUCACGCUAUCAGAUGAGCCUAGGUCGGAUUAGCUAGUUGGUGGGGUAAAGGCCUACCAAGGCGACGAUCCGUAACUGGCCUGAGAGGAUGAUCAGUCACACUGGAACUGAGACACGGUCCAGACUCCUACGGGAGGCAGCAGUGGGGAAUAUUGGACAAUGGGCGAAAGCCUGAUCCAGCCAUGCCGCGUGUGUGAAGAAGGUCUUCGGAUUGUAAAGCACUUUAAGUUGGGAGGAAGGGCAGUAAGUUAAUACCUUGCUGUUUUGACGUUACCAACAGAAUAAGCACCGGCUAACUUCGUG
rnacentral:rRNA from 1 species